UACGUAGGUGGCAAGCGUUGUCCGGAAUUACUGGGCGUGAAGCGCGCGCAGGCGGUCCUUUAAGUCUGAUGUGAAAGCCCACGGCUCAACCGUGGAGGGUCAUUGGAAACUGGGGGACUUGAGUGUAGAAGAGGAAAGCGGAAUUCCACGUGUAGCGGUGAAAUGCGUAGAGAUGUGGAAGAACACCAGUGGCGAAGGCGGCUUUCUGGUCUGUAACUGACGCUGAGGCGCGAAAGCGUGGGGAGCAAACAGG
rnacentral:rRNA from 1 species